rnacentral:rRNA from 1 species
GAUGAACGCUGGCGGCGUGCCUAAUACAUGCAAGUCGAGCGAACUGAUUAGAAGCUUGCUUCUAUGACGUUAGCGGCGGACGGGUGAGUAACACGUGGGCAACCUGCCUGUAAGACUGGGAUAACUUCGGGAAACCGAAGCUAAUACCGGAUAGGAUCUUCUCCUUCAUGGGAGAUGAUUGAAAGAUGGUUUCGGCUAUCACUUACAGAUGGGCCCGCGGUGCAUUAGCUAGUUGGUGAGGUAACGGCUCACCAAGGCAACGAUGCAUAGCCGACCGGAGAGGGUGAUAGGCCACACUGGGACUGAGACACGGCCCAGACUCCUACGGGAGGCAGCAGUAGGGAAUCUUCCGCAAUGGACGAAAGUCUGACGGAGCAACGCCGCGUGAGUGAUGAAGGCUUUCGGGUCGUAAAACUCUGUUGUUAGGGAAGAACAAGUACGAGAGUAACUGCUCGUACCUUGACGGUACCUAACCAGAAAGCCACGGCUAACUACGUGCCAGCAGCCGCCGCGGUAA